GGGUGCAAUACUUUAAAAAAAAGGUUAGAUUUGCAAUUUAAAAUUAGACUUAGUGUCUUUGCACU
rnacentral:tRNA from 1 species